AUUGAACGCUGGCGGCAGGCCUAACACAUGCAAGUCGAACGGUAACAGGAAGCAGCUUGCUGCUUCGCUGACGAGUGGCGGACGGGUGAGUAAUGUCUGGGAAACUGGCUGAUGGAGGGGGAUAACUACUGGAAACGGUAGCUAAUACCGCAUAACGUUGCAAGACCAAAGAGGGGGCCCUUCGGGCCUCUUGCCAUCGGAUGUGCCCAGAUGGGAUUAGCUAGUAGGUGGGGUAACGGCUCACCUAGGCGACGAUCCCUAGCUGGUCUGAGAGGAUGACCAGCCACACUGGAACUGAGACACGGUCCAGACUCCUACGGGAGGCAGCAGUGGGGAAUAUUGCACAAUGGGCGCAAGCCUGAUGCAGCCAUGCCGCGUGUAUGAAGAAGGCCUUCGGGUUGUAAAGUACUUUCAGCGGGGAGGAAGGGAGUAAAGUUAAUACCUUUGCUCAUUGACGCUACCCGCAGAAGAAGCACCGGCUAACUCCGUGCCAGCCGCCGCGGUAA
rnacentral:rRNA from 1 species